UAGCAUAAUUCAUACUUCUCCAUCAGCUCCAUGAGGGAGCUUUAUUGUAACAGCAUUUCUCCACCGCGCUCAUCUCCCAUGAGUCCAGCAUCACUCUUUUGUUUCCUUUUGGUUUGGAGGUUCGUGAGCGGCACGCGCUCCAGACCUGCGUCAUAGUCCCGCCUCUUAGCUUGAUUGACAGCAGCUUUUUUUGCCUCACAAUCAGUUUAUACAAGAUUCAAAGACAAAAUGGGAGACAGUCAAAAAUGUCGGAUGGUGUCUCAACUAGCAGGAUCUGUGAAAAAUAGUGUAGAUUCAGGACUGUCCCACAGAGAGCAGGAACCUUGGUCACCCUAACAGCAGCAUAGCAGCACUCCGCAUGGGACAGAGCCUCAGAGCCAGUCUGGAAAGGUGAGCAGGAUCAAACCAUUGUUGAGACGGGAGGUUUGCUGUAUUUUUGUUUUUAAAACAUUAUAUUUUGACCUAUUGUAUGUUUACGUGAUAACAGCUAUGUUACAGGUUUGAUCAGAGAGAAGGAAAAACUCUGGCAUGGAUUUUUCAUAUGUAGGGUGGUGGGGGCUUUUGCCAGAACGAUGCUCUGAAGAACAAGUUCAGCAUCAGCAGGGACAUGUCUACAGGAACAGAGACAAUGACAGGACAGAAGCUGCAGCCUGGAGACACAGCUGUUUGCUACUGUGUGAGACGCCCACACUGAUACAGAGAUGCCUGCAGAAAAACUCGAAUCACCGAGAAACAGUUAGAAAUAAGAAGAAAACAAUUGAAUGUCUACAGCACUUUAUAUUGUAUGAAACACAAAGAUGCACCGUAAUUACCAAACAAGACGAAAACAAUAAGAUGUGACAACUUGUAAAAGAGAAAUACCAGUUUAGACCAGUUUAAGAGAAAAAAGACAAGUAAAUCAAGACCCAGAUGUUAAACCUCCACCGUCUGAAAUACAAAUGUAAUCUAUUCGAUCAGCCUGCUGAAAAAUAUUAUGAUGCUUUGUUGUUAUUCAACUGAAUCAUAGCAAGACAACAAAGUUUCUUUCAUACAAGCUUUACUUAAUCAGCAGAUUGGAGCCUGAACAUGAAAACAGCAGGAAUCGUUUUCUAGAACCUGCUGCUUUUAACAGAUUUUGUGUUUGGAAACAUCAAAAGUGCAGUUUUCUUAGAAAGCACAAACAGUAAUAAAAUACACAAAUAAACAAGCAUGCUUUCAUCCUGACAGAAAUGAUAGGCUGUGUCUCAAUUCAGGGUCUGCAUCCUACCUCGGCCGGAUUCGUCGGCCGGUUACGUCACAGCGCCGCGACUCGGCCUGUCCCAAUUCGAAGACUCCUUCAAAUGCGGUCGACGAAUGCGGCCUUCUUUUCGCCUGAAUGAAGGAUGGGUCGGGUGUAUCCUUCAAUAGGUAGCAUUUCCCAAGAUGCCUUGCGGGCCGGCCGGCAGAAAAACUUAAAAACAAUGGCGGACAGUGAAGCGGGAGCUGUCGGAGAGGAUUGCGCAUAUACAUGAACAAAAGAGAAAACCAGGGAAUUUAUUAAGCUUAGGACGGAGAUGGACCACAUGAUCACUGGAGCAAAGUAUUCGGCGGCUGUGGCAUGGAGACUAUUCUGGAGAAAAUGGGCAUCCAGGGGAAGGUGCCAGCGAUGAGCUUCUGGAGCUGAUCUGGGAGGACAUGAGGCUGCAGAGGGAGGCAGAGCUGCAGAGGGCCCAGGAGAGAAGGAAGAACUUUGACAGCUUUUUACUUUGCUAGAAAAAAAUGGUUAAGGAAGAUUAAACAUGUACAUGUAAAAGAAAUAUCUAAAUAAAAUCAGUUCUGCAUUAAACUCUUGAAUUUUAUUUUUGUUUACAAAUGAGAAUUGUUUACUAGAAGGUAUCCGCUGGGUCUUGAAAAGUCUUAAAAGGUGAUAAAUCGGUUUUGGUCAAAUUAAGACCCUUAGAAAGUAUUAAAAACUAUUAUCACAUCUUUGCUCAGGCUCAGCUAGUCUAAAGUAUUUUCUCUGAAUUAGCUCUCCAACAGUCAAGGAAAUGAUUAACCCCCAGAGACCCACGGUUGUAAUAUUACAACAUCAGAUUUAAGUCUACAAGAAUAAACCUUCCCCAUUUUUUUUUCUUUUUAAAACCACAUUUACAUUGCUAAUAGGUCCUAUUGUUCAGUUCUGCAACACUAUUGGCUGUUAAAAUGUGUAAAUAGGCCCGUUUAUCUGGCCUCCUAGAACAUGCGAAAGGUUAAAAAAAUAUUUUGCAGUUGUUUUCUAAAUUUGGGUUUCUGGGGGUUAAAAAGCUAAAUAAAACGUCGAGCUCCAUCGUUUAAAGUUCCUUCUGCCCAGCGGUUCCACGGUUGCUAGGCGACGGAACGUUCGCCGAGGGAGUUCAUGAAGGCUAGGCCUGUCCAAAUUCACAGCCGUUAACAUCCGGUCUACCCGGCCGACGGAGGACGCAGCCCACGUCGGCCGGGUGGGCUGGGUCCUUCGAAGGAUGCAGACCCUGAAUUGAGACACAGCCAUAGAUUCACUUUAUAAAAAGUUACACUGAGAUUUUUAUUUCCUGGCAUCAAAUCAUGGAGGAAGAGGAGGAGUCACAUUAAUCUGAGCCUUGUCCAUCUUCGUCUAGUUCA